rnacentral:sRNA from 1 species
GCCAGGGGCAGUAAGGUGUGCCUGUAGUCCCAGCUACUCUGGAGGCUGAGAUAGGAGGGCUGCUUGAACCCAAGAGUUCAGAGCAAGGGUAGGCAACAAAGUGAGAUCCCAUCUCAU